rnacentral:rRNA from 1 species
AUUGAACGCUGGCGGCAUGCUUUACACAUGCCAGUCGAACGGUAACAGGCCUUCGGGUGCUGGCGCGUGGCGGACGGGUGAGUAAUGCACCGGAACGUACCCAGAGGUGGGGGAUAAGGCAGCGAAAGCUGUGCUAAUACAACAUGUGAUCUGAGGUUGAGAGCGGGGGACGGGGCAGCAAUGUUUGGCCUGGCGCGGUUGGACUCGCGGAUGUGGUACUAGUUAGUGGGGUGGUUAAAGGCCUACCAAGUGGAGGAUCCGUAGCUGGUGUGAGAGGACGGUAGGCGACACUGGAACUGAGACAGGGCCAAGACUCCUACGGGAGGCAGCAGUGGGGAAUGUUGGGCAAUGGGCGCAAGCCUGAUCCAGCAAUGCCGCGUGCGGGGAGAAGGCCUUCGGGUUGUAAACCGCGUUUGGCAGGAACGAAACGGUGUCCGCUAAUACCGGGCGCGAAUGACGGUACCUGCAGAAGAAGCACCGGCUAACUACGUG